rnacentral:rRNA from 1 species
UAAGCAUAUCAAUAAGCGGAGGAAAAGAAACCAACAGGGAUUGCCCUAGUAACGGCGAGUGAAGCGGCAACAGCUCAAAUUUGAAAUCUGGCUUCGGCCCGAGUUGUAAUUUGCAGAGGAAGCUUUAGGCGCGGCACCUUCUGAGUCCCCUGGAACGGGGCGCCAUAGAGGGUGAGAGCCCCGUAUAGUUGGAUGCCUAGCCUGUGUAAAGCUCCUUCGACGAGUCGAGUAGUUUGGGAAUGCUGCUCAAAAUGGGAGGUAAAUUUCUUCUAAAGCUAAAUACCGGCCAGAGACCGAUAGCGCACAAGUAGAGUGAUCGAAAGAUGAAAAGCACUUUGAAAAGAGGGUUAAACAGCACGUGAAAUUGUUGAAAGGGAAGCGCUUGUGACCAGACUUGCGCCAGGCUGAUCAUCCGGUGUUCUCACCGGUGCACUCGGCCCGGCACAGGCCAGCAUCGGUUCUCGCGGGGGGAUAAAGGUCUCGGGAACGUAGCUCCUCCGGGAGUGUUAUAGCCCGGGGCGUAAUGCCCUCGCGGGGACCGAGGUUCGCGCAUCUGCAAGGAUGCUGGCGUAAUGGUCAUCAGCGACCCGUCUUGAAACACGGACCAAGGAGUCAAGGUUUUGCGCGAGUGUUUGGGUGUCAAACCCGCACGCGUAAUGAAAGUGAACGUAGGUGAGAGCUUCGGCGCAUCAUCGACCGAUCCUGAUGUUUUCGGAUGGAUUUGAGUAGGAGCGUUAAGCCUUGGACCCGAAAGAUGGUGAACUAUGCUUGGAUAGGGUGAAGCCAGAGGAAACUCUGGUGGAGGCUCGCAGCGGUUCUGACGUGCAAAUCGAUCGUCAAAUCUGAGCAUGGGGGCGAAAGACUAAUCGAACCAUCUAGUAGCUGGUUACCGCCGAAGU